GGGGGUGCACUGGUUUCGACGGGGGUUGUGAAGUCGCUUGGCGCAUGCCGAGGGGGUAGCUUUCCUCGUAAAUCCAGCUGCAAAACUCUAGUUGCCAACGACGACAACUACGCUCUCGCCGCUUAAGGCGUAAGCCCCGAACCCACUUGUGCCCGUGCUCGUGGAUGUAGGGUCAUUAUCACGGAAC
rnacentral:tmRNA from 1 species